AUGCAACAUCGCGUAGAGCCCUGGAAAGGGCGUUGGCUAUCGAAGGCGGCGCGCGUGAUCCUUAUCAACUCAUCGCUAGCCAGCCUCCUGUGGUUCCUUAUGAGCUUCUAUAGCCUUCAUGAAACGCUCCAUCAGGAGGUCGCCAAAUACCAGUCCAGAUUCUUCUGGGCUGGGAAGGAGGGCAAGCAGAAAUACCACAUGGUCAGCUGGCCAGACAUCUGCAAACCCAAAGACCAGGGCGGUCUUGGGAUUCUGUCCUCUCGGCGCAUGAACAUCGCCCUCUUGACCCGCUGGCUCUGGCGCAUCGCCAAUGGGGACGGUGGCCUCUGGCUUACUAUCAUCCAGAACAAGUACCUGCGUGGACAGCCACUGGCGUUCUGCCAACGCUCGGGCGGUUCCCAGUUUUGGCAGGCCGUCGUCCGACUGCUUCCGGUCUUACGUAUAGGCACUUCCAUCUCUGUGGGCUCUGGAGCUUCGACCUUGUUCUGGCUGGACAGGUGGCUCGGAGGCUCCCCUCUAGCCGCCCGGUUCCCCAUCCUCUUCGACAUUGUAGUUGACCCUCGGGUCUUAGUCGAGGCGGCCCUUAUUGACUUAGGGCGCCUCGCGUUCCGCCGCCCUUUUGGCCCCGCUGAGGUGGCUGCCUGGGAUGUCCUCCUCCAGGACAUCGCCCUGCUACCUAUGGACGUGGCAGAUUCUCCGGACUCCAUCUCCUGGCGCCUAGACCCCUCCGGCCGCUUCUCCACCAAAUCCCUCUACGCGGCCAUUGCCCCUUCGUCAGCCCCGGAGCCCUUUGGUCUUAUCUGGGACAUCCGCCUCCCACUUAAGAUUCGGAUCUUUCUUUGGCAAUGGAUCCGCGGCCGCCUCCCGACCGGCGUUGAGGUUCUUAAGCGCCAUGGUCCUGGCGAUGGAAUGUGCCCCCUGUGUGGCACGGUAGAGGACGCUAAUCACAUCUUCUUCCUGUGCUACACGGCACAGUUCCUUUGGUCUUGUUUCCGCGAAACGGUUUGGGGACAGUGGUGCAACACCAACUUCCGUGACCUGCUUGCGGAAAUUCAAGCCUCCCCCCCUCGCUACAGACAUAUUAGAUGGUUGUGCGUCGGGGUUCUAGCCUGGACCCUAUGGACGGUUCGCAAUAAGCUUGUCAUUCAGAAGGUGCCCCUUCGACGUGCGACUGACUCCAUCUUUAAAAUGUGUGGUUACUUGCAGCUCUGGCAGCCGCUUAGCCGCCCGCAGGACCGGGACGCCAUCGACAGACUCCUCACCGACCUCCGUUCGUUGGCCUUUCGCCUGGCGCCUCCGCUCCCGCCGCCACCACCGGAGCCCGACUAG
rnacentral:rRNA from 1 species